UGUCUUCUCUUUAUGGUUUUUUCCAUAGUUUUCCAGAAUAACCUAUGGUGGCGACUCCAAAACUUUCUUAACCAUUUUUUCUCUUUGGAUUGUCGUCCCGUCGCGAUUCCGGUUGCGACAGAAGUUCUUUCAAGAAUUCCGCAUAUGAUGGCAUUUGCUGAAGUGCCUCAGAAAACCGCAUAUGAUGGCAUUCGCUCAAACUGUUUUUCUUUUUCCUUCCUUCAAUAUGUCUUGGGAUAAGGAAGGGGUUUUUUAAACUCUCUUUAUUUUAAUUUUUCAACCUCUUCUUUCUCUAACUUUCCCUCAACUCUAAUUUUUUCACUCUUCACACUUUCUUUUCCCUUUCUUUUCUCCCUUUGAUCACUCUCUUUUUCUUUCUCUCUUCUCUCAAUUUUUCUUUCCUCUAACACUCUUCCACUCCUAGUAACAAUAGUCUCACAUGCUUCUCUUGGAACAUAUCUCUCAUUCCUCUCAAUCCCAUGCUCUUCCAAUCUAGUGUUCAUAUCCUCCAAGCUUUUAAUAUAAAAUACACUUUUAUUCAUAACCUGCUAAAAGAAAUCUUCAAAAUCUGCAUUCUUCUUAACUGGCAUGACUUGUGGCUGCUUUU
rnacentral:lncRNA from 1 species